rnacentral:rRNA from 1 species
CGCCGCGUGAGUGAUGAAGGUUUUCGGAUCGUAAAGCUCUGUUGUUAGGGAAGAACAAGUGCCGUUCAAAUAGGGCGGCACCUUGACGGUACCUAACCAGAAAGCCACGGCUAACUACGUGCCAGCAGCCGCGGUAAUACGUAGGUGGCAAGCGUUGUCCGGAAUUAUUGGGCGUAAAGGGCUCGCAGGCGGUUUCUUAAGUCUGAUGUGAAAGCCCCCGGCUCAACCGGGGAGGGUCAUUGGAAACUGGGGAACUUGAGUGCAGAAGAGGAGAGUGGAAUUCCACGUGUAGCGGUGAAAUGCGUAGAGAUGUGGAGGAACACCAGUGGCGAAGGCGACUCUCUGGUCUGUAACUGACGCUGAGGAGCGAAAGCGUGGGGAGCGAACAGGAUUAGAUACCCUGGUAGUCCACGCCGUAAACGAUGAGUGCUAAGUGUUAGGGGGUUUCCGCCCCUUAGUGCUGCAGCUAACGCAUUAAGCACUCCGCCUGGGGAGUACGGUCGCAAGACUGAAACUCAAAGGAAUUGACGGGGGCCCGCACAAGCGGUGGAGCAUGUGGUUUAAUUCGAAGCAACGCGAAGAACCUUACCAGGUCUUGACAUCCUCUGACAAUCCUAGAGAUAGGACGUCCCCUUCGGGGGCAGAGUGACAGGUGGUGCAUGGUUGUCGUCAGCUCGUGUCGUGAGAUGUUGGGUUAAGUCCCGCAACGAGCGCAACCCUUGAUCUUAGUUGCCAGCAUUCAGUUG